rnacentral:rRNA from 1 species
AUUGAACGCUGGCGGCAUGCUUUACACAUGCAAGUCGAACGGCAGCACGGGGGCAACCCUGGUGGCGAGUGGCGAACGGGUGAGUAAUAUAUCGGAACGUACCCGGAAAUGGGGGAUAACGUAGCGAAAGUUACGCUAAUACCGCAUAUGCCCUAAGGGGGAAAGCGGGGGAUUCGCAAGAACCUCGCGUUUUCGGAGCGGCCGAUAUCGGAUUAGCUAGUAGGUGAGGUAAAGGCUCACCUAGGCGACGAUCCGUAGCUGGUCUGAGAGGACGACCAGCCACACUGGAACUGAGACACGGUCCAGACUCCUACGGGAGGCAGCAGUGGGGAAUUUUGGACAAUGGGCGCAGGCCUGAUCCAGCCAUGCCGCGUGAGUGAAGAAGGCCUCGGGUU